rnacentral:rRNA from 1 species
UGCGUAGGCGGGCUAAUAAGUCAGUGGUGAAAUCUCUCGGCUCAACAGGGAAACUGCCAUUGAUACUGUUAGUCUUGAGUUCGGUUGAGGUAGGCGGAAUGUGUAAUGUAGCGGUGAAAUGCUUAGAUAUUACACAGAACACCAAUUGCGUAGGCAGCUUACUAGACCGACACUGACGCUGAGGCACGAAAGCGUGGGGAGCGAACAGGAUUAGAUACCCUGGUAGUCC